rnacentral:rRNA from 3 species
UGUUUCGGCUAGGGGGUCAUCCCGACUUACCAACCCGAUGCAAACUACGAAUACCGAAGAAUGUUAUCACGGGAGACACACGGCGGGUGCUAACGUCCGUCGUGAAGAGGGAAACAACCCAGACCGCCAGCUAAGGUCCCAAAGUCAUGGUUAAGUGGGAAACGAUGUGGGAAGGCACAGACAGCCAGGAUGUUGGCUUAGAAGCAGCCAUCAUUUAAAGAAAGCGUAAUAGCUCACUGGUCGAGUCGGCCUGCGCGGAAGAUGUAACGGGGCUAAACCAUGCACC